UUGGGUUAAGUCCCGCAACGAGCGCAACCCUUGUCCUUAGUUGCCAGCAUUUAGUUGGGCACUUUAAGGAGACUGCCGGUGACAAACCGGAGGAAGGUGGGGACGACGUCAAGUCAUCAUGGCCCUUACGAGUAGGGCUACACACGUGCUACAAUGGCAUCUACAGUGGGCAGCUAUUCCGCAAGGAUGCGCUAAUCUCCAAAAGAUGUCUCAGUUCGGAUUGGGGUCUGCAACUCGACCCCAUGAAGUUGG
rnacentral:rRNA from 1 species